GCUAGCCUCAAGUGAUGAUUAUUGGAGGUAGAGCACUGUUUGGACGAGGGGCCCCUCUCGGGUUACCGAAUUCAGACAAACUCCGAAUGCCAAUUAAUUUAACUUGGGAGUCAGAACAUGGGUGAUAAGGUCCGUGUUCGAAAGGGAAACAGCCCAGACCACCAGCUAAGGUCCCAAAAUAUAUGUUAAGUGGAAAAGGAUGUGGCGUUGCCCAGACAACUAGGAUGUUGGCUUAGAAGCAGCCAUCAUUUAAAGAGUGCGUAAUAGCUCACUAGUCGAGUGACACUGCGCCGAAAAUGUACCGGGGCUAAACAUAUUACCGAAGCUGUGGAUUGUCCUUUGGACAAUGGUAGGAGAGCGUUCUAAGGGCGUUGAAGCAUGAUCGUAAGGACAUGUGGAGCGCUUAGAAGUGAGAAUGCCGGUGUGAGUAGCGAAAGACGGGUGAGAAUCCCGUCCACCGAUUGACUAAGGUUUCCAGAGGAAGGCUCGUCCGCUCUGGGUUAGUCGGGUCCUAAGCUGAGGCCGACAGGCGUAGGCGAUGGAUAACAGGUUGAUAUUCCUGUACCACCUAUAAUCGUUUUAAUCGAUGGGGGGACGCAGUAGGAUAGGCGAAGCGUGCGAUUGGAUUGCACGUCUAAGCAGUAAGGCUGAGUAUUAGGCAAAUCCGGUACUCGUUAAGGCUGA
rnacentral:rRNA from 1 species